UGGAGAGUUUGAUCCUGGCUCAGGACGAACGCUGGCGGCGUGCCUAAUACAUGCAAGUCGAGCGGACAGAUGGGAGCUUGCUCCCUGAUGUCAGCGGCGGACGGGUGAGUAACACGUGGGUAACCUGCCUGUAAGACUGGGAUAACUCCGGGAAACCGGGGCUAAUACCGGAUGCUUGAUUGAACCGCAUGGUUCAAUUAUAAAAGGUGGCUUUUAGCUACCACUUACAGAUGGACCCGCGGCGCAUUAGCUAGUUGGUGAGGUAACGGCUCACCAAGGCGACGAUGCGUAGCCGACCUGAGAGGGUGAUCGGCCACACUGGGACUGAGACACGGCCCAGACUCCUACGGGAGGCAGCAGUAGGGAAUCUUCCGCAAUGGACGAAAGUCUGACGGAGCAACGCCGCGUGAGUGAUGAAGGUUUUCGGAUCGUAAAACUCUGUUGUUAGGGAAGAACAAGUACCGUUCGAAUAGGGCGGUACCUUGACGGUACCUAACCAGAAAGCCACGGCUAACUACGUGCCAGCAGCCGCGGUAAUACGUAGGUGGCAAGCGUUGUCCGGAAUUAUUGGGCGUAAAGCGCGCGCAGGCGGUUUCUUAAGUCUGAUGUGAAAGCCCCCGGCUCAACCGGGGAGGGUCAUUGGAAACUGGGGAACUUGAGUGCAGAAGAGGAG
rnacentral:rRNA from 1 species